UUAUUAGCUGAACAAAGGCUUGUAGCCAAAUCUGCACUGUAGCUUACAAAGCGAUUAAUUAGCGCUCGGCUGGCAUUUGGACUGUCAACAAAUAUUUAACUACUCAUUAGGCGCCCUCCAGCCAGAGUCAAGCCCGUAGCCAGCGCGGCAUUACGUAUACGCCGCGUAUUACCGGUACUAGCACCUGCCCCUCAUUAGAAUUCAGUUUGUGUCCCGGUGUCUCGUCUCGUCUCAAGUUAACUCCAGCUUCAAUGUUCCGCAACGUGUGCCGCAAACGCAAAAGCAACAGCAAAAGGAAAAGGAAACGCACACGGAAAAUAAGAAAAUUGUGUGUGCUGGGGCAAACUACUUGCUAUUCAGCAAUGGAUGCUGCGAUGGAAACGAAAGGAAGACCGUAAAAAAGUUUUUCAAAUGUGGACAAUGACUACGGUUACCUGUUGUCAGACUUUUCCAGCACAGACAGAGACAGAGGAAGAGACGGACAGAGAGGAGGAAGAGGGAGGCACAGCAAAAGGAAAAGUUUUGACAGGAAAACGACAAAACGAUGCCAAAUUAUUGGACAAUUAAUAAACACUGCAAAAGGAAUUCAACUAAUGUACGAGCAAUUACAACAAUCAAUCCAAUUAACGUAACACAAAGGGAGCGGAGCAGACAAUAGAAAACCACGAAAGCAAUCCAAUCCUCUCAGUCGGUGGGUCGGUCGGUCGGUCGGUCGGUCGAUGAUGAUGAAUGAUGCAUUUCCUUUUGAUUUUUCCUAUCCUUUGCUUUCACUUUGUUUUAUUUUUGUAAUGGCUGCAGAGCGAACGAAAAGGGAAGGAAUAAAAACUAUAAGCCAUCAGAA
rnacentral:misc_RNA from 1 species